GUAAUACUAGGUAUAUAUAUACAGAAGCAACAAUACAGUCAUGGGCAUAUACGUAGGUAUAUGGAAAAAAAAACAGCUUAAAAUAAUAGGAAAAGAGAAGAAAGAAAUGCAAAAAUUGUUCUGCAUUGAAGGGAAGAGAAAAAGGUAAAAAAUUGUCGUGUUUAUCCAUACAUGUUUCUAGACUUCAAAAGAAGAGAAAAAAUAUUUUCUUGUAACUUCACGCUACAACCAGCGGAAAGUUAGAAAAGAAGAGAAAUUGAAAUUGAAAACACCACUUAAUUAUUGUGAGAAAUAUUGCUCAAAUCCACAAAACAUAUACUCACUGUCUACAAUAAAAACCUGACCUCUUUUAGUUUUAUUUUUACUGGUUAGAAUACCUGUAUGUUGCUGCGGGCAAUCUUGCUACACCUUUCUUGCCAAUUAUAAAUUCAUGAAACCUAUAUCACAUAGCAAAAGGGAAAAUGAAGAACUUUCCCAGCAUGCAACUAGGAUCUAGUUUCAUUAAAAGACAAUGAAUGCAGUGGUUAAGCAAUAAUAUCUUUAAUUAAACAUAUUUAUCAUCCAAUGAUUCUAGAACAAAGAAGUGCUCAAUAAAUUAAAAAGAGUUGAAUAUAACAGUGCUAGCAAGAUUCAAGUCAAAUGCUGUUAAAGAAAAUGAGUUUUACCAAAAGCUGCAAAACAAUAUCCAAGGCAUGCAUAGCAUGCUCGUCUAUAGCUACAUGUAUUGUAAAUGAAAAAUGAAUCAUCAAGUAAGCAACUAAAAUAAAAAAGUUUGAACACAAAAAUUAGAAGCUUUGUAUUUAUUUGAAAAGAUCUCAAGGAUAAAAGAUUUCAAUGUAUGUCAUCACAAAACAAAUAUAAUUAAUUAUAUGGUAUACAAAAAGAAUUGGAAAUGAAAUUCAAUCGUCGAUGACACCAAAAGUAUAAGAGCAUGUUGAUCCUCUGAUUUGUUAAUGCUUAAAAACAGUUGUUUGACAAAUCAAAAUAGAGAUUCCAGCAUGCAUUUUAAAAAUUUCUCACUACAUAAUAGAACAAAGAAACCAUAAAACACAAUUUAAAUACAAACAAAGCAGAGAAACAACUAGCUGAAGACAUAAAAAAAUAUAGUUGACUUAAUAAAUAAAUUAUUUUUAAAUAAUACUAAUCCAAAGCAGCAUAGAGCCUAUAAAAACAUACAGAAUUGCAAAUAAAUCAAGUCUAUAGAAUGCUUUCUUGUAAUAUUAGAAAUGAAAAUUCAACUUGGAAACAAAUAUAAUUGUAAUCAUGGUUACCAAGUAAGCCCUCCUUUUUUGUGCCAUAGAUUAAUCUAAAUACAUACUUUGUUACAUAUCAUAUACCAUGUAUUGUAUCAAAAGGAGUUUGCUUAUUGCAAGGUCAUUUUCUCUCUAAGAUAAAUGGAAAUUUCUUAGAAAGGCCUAAAUUACUUAUUAGGACUUGAAAGAUUUUGGACAAGAGAAACUACCAGCACAGUCCAAAACUAGCAGAAGUAGUGGAUAAAUUAUGCCAGAAAAAAGAUAUGGUGAAACAUAAACUUGAGAAGCCACAAUCCAUCAAAGUGAUUGAUUUAACUAAAGUGGUACGGAAAUGUAGGAAAAGUUUGCCAUAAAUAACCAUAUAGAUUACAACAACUUGAUUAAAGAAAAAAAAAGCUACGCAAGUUAGUUGCCAAGCUAAUAGUUAAGUCUAAGGAAUGUGAGUUGACUUUAACCAAUUAAAGCUAGACAAAAUAUUUUGUAAUAAGUCAGAAGUCUACGCAAAACUUGGUAGUGAGAUAGCAUAUGAAAUAUGGUUAUCUCAACACCCAAGACUGGAAAAAAGAGAGCAGGGUGCUACAGUUGAUUUGGUUAAAAUUAUUGUGGACCGAAGGUACAAGAAAAAUGAAAAGGUAAACAAAAAUGAACUAAAUAUGAAAUGUCAAUCAAUAGAGUUGAGAUCUAAAUUAUUACUUGUAAAGCUGCAUUUGACAAAACAGGCUAUAGUCGAAUCUUAUUGAUAAAAAAAUAUCGGUUAAAAAAUAAAAGCAAGUCUAUUAUGCAAAUAAAAAAAUAUCUAGCAACACCUUGUCUCAAUAAAGAAAUUUUAAUCCUUUAAAAUUAACACCAGAAAGGCAACUAAGUUUCUCACUCUUUUCUUUUUAAUUCUAUAUUCAAAGGCGUAAAAAGAAAAAAAUGAAAAGCAAACCAUUAAAAUAACCAACACAAAAAAAAAUUAACAUGUAUACAAAGAAAUAGUCAAAGCCUACGUCUCUUUAUUUAUUUCAUUAACUAUGUUUAUGGAUAGACUUAAUAGCCAAGAUAGUUUCUCCAACAACAAAAAACCUGGCCUCAUUUUCAACUAACAUGUUCAUGCAUAUCAGUAAAGUCAUCAUAUCUCCACCAUUUUGAUAUUUUAUGGUUAGUUACAGAUACUUUUAAUCUUGGAAAGAACAAUACAGUUUGACAAUGCAUAUUUAAUAGAAACCUCAACAUAUUUAAUAGCUCUCUGCAUAUUUAAUAGUUUUAAAGAAUAGAUUGUUAAAGUAUAAGGUCAGAAUCUCAAUACCUUUUGAAUUUAAAGUCUUUUCCUCUUAUCCAAUCCAAGAAUUUGUAUAGAGUUUCCAAUGAAAAGCAAGAUGAAUUUGUUCACUCCCAUGAAAAUACUUGAAGCACUGCACUCUUAUAAUAUAGAGACAGUAGCACAAUGAGUCAAAUAUUUCAACAAUAUAAACACUUCCACCUAAAUACUAUCCACUUAUGGAAGAGAAAAAACUUUUUAAAAAUGGUUGAUUAAGAACCACUGGAUAAUGCAAUAAUUUAAUCUUGGAUGGUUCAUUGUAAAAUAAUUAUGGGUACAAUAAAGGUUGUUAAAAUCACGAUUUUAACACGAAACGGAAAGCCGUUCAUAAACUUGGAUCGUAAAAUCGUAAGGAAUUUUAAAAUAUAUUAAAAAAAAAUUCAUGCUUCAAAUAAAAAUUCAUACAUAGUUCAAGCACCUUAAAAAACAUGUUUCAAAUAAAAAUUCAUACAUAUUUUAAGCCUUCAAAUAAAAAUUCAUAUAUAGUUCAAGCAUCUUAAAAUACAUGAUUCAAAUAAAAAUCAUACAUAAUUUAAAAUAACUUUUCAUUAACUAAUAAUCAACAAACUUAAAACAAGAAAAUAACCAAUAAUCGAAUUUAUGUUUUUUUAAUUAAUUUAAGAAAUAACCAAUAAAAUAACACUAGUUUUGUUUUCAGCACCAUAAGAUUUUCUCGCGGUAGAUAUAAUUAUACUCAAUCAAUUCUGGUGUGAUUUUAACUUAAUUUCAAAGAUAUUAAUUAGUAGGAUAUGGCAACUAAUUAACCGGAGUGAUUUCAAGGGAUUAAUUUUCAUAAUAUGACUAGAGAGGAUAACAUUAGAUGAUUUGGGAAUUGAGAAUUUGGGAGCUGGGUUACCCGUUUGUUUAUAGUUUAGAUUAAAAAAUAAAAUAUGAAGAUUAGUGAAUGAUUUAUAGUUUUAUACACAUUAACUAAUAAAAACAGUAAUAACCUAUCAAAUUAGUAACAAAAACCACACGACACAGUUCAGAUGUGCCUGCCAUGCUGUCCUGUUCUUGCCAUGUAACUCGAUCGAGGCAAAUUAUUAAAUGCAUUGACUGAGUACAAAGUUACUGACAAUUUGUGAGUGUUCUCAAAUCUCGCCUGAAGACUAAGUCACUGAAGUGAACUGAAGACAGUCACGUGAGGGGGGAAGAAAAAUCCAAUAGGCGUCUGACAGCUGGACAUGAGAGGGGGAAUUAAACUUUUAGCUUCUCAUUUUGUUGAAAUCGCAAAAUUGAUCCUGAUAUCACGAUUUUGUGCGAUUUCAUCCGAUUGUUGCGAUUUCACCUGAUUUUACCCAUUUUUGAUUUUUUCAAGCGAUUCAACCCGUUAUGCAUGUUUUGACUCGUAAAAUCGUAUGACUCGUUCAAAACGUGAUUUUAACAACCUUGGGUACAAUAACCAAAAGACAUGUAAAAGACAAGAAAGGAGAAAAAAAACAAUAAAUAAAUUAAUAGUAAUUAGAAUCAAAGAAGAUUAAAUUAAGGUUAUUAUUGACAAUCACAUUAACAAUUGUUUUUCCCAUUGCCUUCAUUAUCAUCCCAAAAACAAUCCAUGAAAACUAAAAGAAAUUAAAAUUAGGAAAGAAAAAAAAAUCACUCCCCUGAAAGAUUCAAAAUCAUAUUUCAAAGUCUAUUCAAAACUGUAUUCAUAGAUGCGCUCAAACUCUAGCUUAUCCGUCGAAUUGAACUUUAAUCUAAAAUAAUUUGUAAAUCAUUUCUACUUUUAAAUGUUUAACUUGAACAUUUAGAUGCAAAUUGGAAAUAAGCAUUUAAUGAAAAAGAAAUCCAAUAAAAUUGUUAGGAUAAGCUUAACAAAAUCACAUACCUAGCCUCAACAAAGCAUCUCUAAUUUCUCAAGCUUCUUCGUAGCAUAUAUAUAUAUAUAUAUAUAUAUAUAUAUAUAUAUGACCCUAUAGACUCUAAACUGCAAUUUAUAAAGGAGAAAUUUGAAAACAAUUACUAAAUAAAUUAUGAAUUGGUUAGAAAAGCAUCACCACUACAAAUACUCAGAUGUAAAUUUCAAGAAAUAGAUCCAAGCUAACUUUCGCUUCACUCCAAAAAAAACAAAAACCUAAAAAACAAUAUAUCUAAUAUUAAUAGAUUCAAAGAUUCUAUUUUCUAUCAAUUCAAAGAGACCUAGAAGAUGAAAAAAAUAAAGCCAUAGUUUUUCUCACCCGACUUGUCCUUCCUUAUUUCUCUCUUUUCUGUCUUCAACUCCUGAAUAAAAAAAAUAAAAAGAAAAAUCAACUAUAAUUAUGGUAAGAAAUUCAAAAAACCAUCUUCAAAAAAUCCCUUAACUUCAAACAAAAAGAUAUGGAUUCAUUAAAAAAAAAAAACACAACUCUUGAUAAGAAACAAAACAACCUCAAAAUUAAUCGAUGAAAAUGAAAAGGCCAAGAUGAAAAGAUAACCAGUUUUGCUUGUGUGUUGGUACUGGUGUUUAUUAUAGCUUUAUAUAAACAACAUAGUGGUUUUGGUAAUUAAACUUACAAAAAAGAUUGUCGGCAUAUGCUUUUAACCCUUUCUCAUCUUGUCUACUACUUUUCCUUUGCCCUCUCAUCAUCCUCGUCUCCUUUCUCUUCAUCCUCUCUCACUUCACUUAUUUUAUUUAUUUUCUAGCUUUUCUAACUGUAUCUUCAUCCCUUUUUAAUUUCUGAUUUGUCCUUUCUUUUUUGGAUUAUUCCUUCGUGUAAUUAAUUAUCACAAUGGAGGGUCUACAACACCACAUGCAUGGCGUUUACAAAUAAUCGCGUGUGUAAUACAUUCCUAGUUAUCUCAUGCUAGUCUACUCUACUCCCGUUUCCGCUGGCUGGAGUAGAGAAAAAUUUAAAUAUAAAAACUUGUAAGGUUAACUUUUUAGUAUAUUACAAAAGACAAUUUGUUCCCAUUCCCCAAAAGUUAAACGCCAUCCAAUGUCAUCAUGCACAGAGGACAAGAGACAAAGAUGAUAGAAUUCCGACAUAGUAUAUUACCGAAGACAAUUUGUUCCCAUUAUCCAAAAGCUAAACGCCAUCCAAUGCCAUCAUGGCUCGGAGGACACCGCGAUGCAUACCUUCCAUAUUCAAGAUAGGCAGUGGAGCUACUGUUAACUCUCUCUCUCAAACUUUUAUUGCGUGUCAGUCAGCACGCCUCUCCUUUUUGUCUGGUUCAAAAAGGGAAAAGGCAGUGUUAAAGUUGAAUAUUCCUUUUAUUUUUGAAGAAAAAAAGCAUUUUAGAAAAAUGAUAUGGAUUGAAAAAACAUUUAGAAAAUAACAUAUUUUAAACACAGCAGCAUGAAUGAUGAUUCGUGUGUUAUAUUCUCUGGUUCACGACUUGUUUCAGCACUUGCUUCCUUGCAUUCUUUGCAUGUGUUGAUUGUUUUCCACACUACUUGAAUAAUCAGUUUCCAUUUCAGUUGAUCGACUUCACCAUCCAUAAUUUAUCCUGCGCCAUGAUCUGCCUUCUCCGCUCGACCUGCUUCCAAGAUCCCUUCAACAUCUUCCCCUGCCUUUUUUUUAUUAUUGUAAUUUGCCCUUUUUUUAUUGGUGUGAUUUAGAGGUGUUCAAAAUAACCAAUUAACCGAGAAAACCGAUAAAAUCGAAGAAAAAUUAACCAAAAAAACCGGGUACAAAAUACAAGGGUGUACUCCCUAGAAACUAGAUUACAAUAAGGGAUCAUAAGCUAGGACCUACUCCUGUCGUGCAUGUGAUGAUCCUGAAACAAAAUACAUAUUAUUGAAAGGUGAGUAUUACAAUAAAUAUGACAACACGAACAUCUAACAAUUUAAACAGGGUAACAUGUGUUCAUAGUUCAUUUGCUUCUCCCUUCUAGUUUUUAUUAGAAUCGCUUUCUUAUCCAGUUAUUAUUAAUUGUUCCAUCUACCACUUUCAACCUUCAUUCCAUACUUUAUGAGAUCGAAUAUGAUUAUUUUUGUUUAUCACAAUACCGAUAUCAAUUUUGCUGGUACCAUCGUCAUCACUCCAUAUGAGUCAAUGCAAGGUCAUUCCCUUAUCCAGGAUCCUAACAUACACUAAAUGUAUACUAGCCAAUACUUAGUGAUCCCCUUGUCCAGGAUCCUAACAUACACUAAAUGUAUGCUAGCCGAUACAUGGUGAUCCCUUUACCCGGGAUCCUAACAUACACUAAAUGUAUGCUAGUCCAAUUGUGGUGAUCCCCUUACCCGAGAUCCUAACAUACACUAAUGUAUGCUAGCCGAUACAUGGUAAUCCCUUUACCCGGAAUCCUAACAUACACUAAAUAUAUGCUAGUUCACGCCUCAAAUCGUACUUCUCAUAUUUCCUUGGUUAGUGAUAAUUUCAUCAUUUGGCAAUUCACACAACUUUUCACCUUGAAUACCAUACGUUCAGUAAUUCACAUUUCGCAUUGGUAAUAUAAAUAAAUCAUGGAAAUUAACUAGGAAGUAUAGGUGUGAUUCACCUACCUGCAAUAGAAGCUCUACUCGUACUCCCCUACUGUUGUUGUUGUUGUUGUUGCACCACGCCUGUCGUCCCUCCUGAAAUUCACAGAUUUAUCCCAUAAGUUCUCCUUACUUAAGGAUAUGUUUUAUUAGAAACAUAUCAACAAUCAAUAAGUCUUUCUUUCAGUCAUCAUUUUUUUUAAAAUAUUUUUUGUUUUUCUUAUUUCACCCAUUAAUAUUGUCAUUCUUUGUGCAACCGUAGUUAUCAUUCCUUUAUAUAUAUAUAUAUAUAUAUUUGAACUAUUUCUGCUUAAAUCUGAACUGUCACUAUCCAACUGUUACUGUCUAGACAUUGAACUGUCACUGUUUCAUUUUUGAACUAUCACUGUCUCAGUUAGUGACCCAUAGCUGGAGUUCUAUAACUCCAAAUUGAGCAAGACCAAUUUUAUUAGUUAGCCAACAUUCAACACUACAAUUUCUAUAAGGAAAUCUGAUCUUAAGUCUCUCAUCCUCCUACCCGAAAUCUCUCUAAAAGUCAAGAGACGAAACUGUCCAGAUUCGUUAGCCUUUCCAUUUACACACAACACAUGAAGUUCUUUAAUUUAGCAACCCAUACUUUUUCCUCAAUUUAAGUCUAAGAACUAAAAUCUAUAAAUUAACAUCCAUGCAUCAAUUCACAAUAAACUUGAAAUGACUCAUAAAAGCAGGUUUAGAAUACCUUACUUGGUACAAAUCAAAGUUUCGAUUCCUCCUUUUUGUUUCUAAUGAUAGCCGGCCCUCCCCUCUUCACUUCUUGUUAAUCCCUUUCUCACCAGUGUUUAUUCUACCUACAACCCUUAAUCUUGGAUGAGUUUUUUUUGAAAUUUUGGUGUUUCUAUCUUGAUUUGUAAAAAUGAUCAUAAAACUCCAUCUUUUCUUUCUUUACGUUAUCUUUAGAUCUGUUUUUGGUGACAGAGGAGUACUUAUGCUCCAUAGUUAUUCUUAUUUGCAUUUAGGCCCCAUUUUCCUUAAGUGUAUUUGUUUUUCCCCCACUCUUUCUUGUUUAGUUUAUUUUCUUUAAUUUAAUCCAACAUUGAUUAUAUAUUAUUAUACUUUUUUUUUUCGGGAUUUACAUUCUCCCCUCCUAAUAAAAUUUUGUCCUCGAAAUUCAAGUUACGUACCUAUGUCGGAGAAUAAGUGCGGAAACUUCUCCUUCAUCUCGAAUUCUCUUUCCCAUGUUGUUCUUCUACUCAAGAGCUUCUCCACAAUACUCUCACUAAGGGAACUCUCUUAUUCCUCAACAGCUUCUCAUCUCGAUCUACGAUCUUGACAGGCUUAGUUUUCAUGGUUAGAUCCCCUUCAAUCUUCAUAGGAACUUGUGGCAAUACCCGUGAGGGGUCUAUUUUGGCCUUUCGCAGCAAUGACACAUGGAACACAUUAUGAAUCUUAUCCAAAUAUACCGGCAAUUCUAAUCGAUAUGCAACUGGCCUGAUUCUUUCCUUAAUCUCAAAAGGGCCAAUAUAUCUCGGGGCUAAUUUCCCUUUUACUCCAAAUCGAAUGAUGCCUUUCCAAGGAGCCACCUUUAGAAAUACUUUAUCCCCCACUUGGAAUUCCAAGGGCCUUCUUCGGCUAUCUGCGUAACUUUUUUGUCUAUCCUGGGCUUCCUUCAUCCUCUUUUUGAUCACCCUCACCUUGUCGGUUGUCAGUUGCACCAUUUCAGGUCCCAAAAACUUCCUUUCUCCUACUUCCUCCCAACAAAUUGGGGUACGACAGUUCCUCCCAUACAAUGCUUCGUAAAGAGCCAUGCCAAUGGUGGUUUGAUGACUAUUAUUAUAAGUAAACUCUACCAAUGGUAGGAGAUCCUCCCAAUUCCCUCCAAACUCCAACACACAGGACCUCAAGAGAUCCUCAAGAGUUUGAAUGGUCCUUUCAGAUUGACCAUCUGUCUGAGGAUGAAAUGUCGUGCUUAGAUUCAACUUUGUCCCCAUUGCCCGUUGUAAGCUAGGCCAUAAUCUCGAUGUGAACCUUGGAUCCCGAUCCGAUAUAAUUGAAACUAGCACUCCAUGAAGUCUGAUUACUUCAUUUACAUAUAAUUUUGCCAGUUUAUCCACCGAAUCAGUCAUCUUCAUAGAAAAAACAAAGCAGAUUUUGUUAGUCGAUCCACGACCACCCAUAUGGCAUCAUUCCCCUUCUUUCCCCUAGGUAAUCCCAUCAUAAAAUCCAUAGAAAUAUCCUCCCAUUUGCAUUCCGGAAUUGAUAAUGACUGUAAUUCCCCUACAGGUUUCUGGUGUUCUAUCUUUACUUGUUGACAAAUCCCACAGUUCGACACAAAUUCUGCUAUUUCCCUCUUCAUACUUAGCCACCAGUAGUAUUCCUUUAAAUCCCUAUACAUCUUUGUGCUCCCCGGAUGAGUAGCAAAUCAAGAUUCAUGAGCUUCUCUUAAUAUUUCAUCUUUCAAAAUCUUAUCCUCAGGCAAAUAAAUUCGUCUACCCAUAGCUAUUAGCCCAUCGGGUAACAUUUGAAAUGAUGUCUCAAUACCCUUGUUUACCCUCUCCUUGAUCUCUUUGACUUUCCCAUCUGCCUGUUGAGCCACCAAGACCUUGUCUCGAAACACAAAUCGGAUCUUUAACUGAGCUAACAGUGAUCCCUCGGGCCCAACACUUAGCCACAAGCCCAUUUUCUUUAACUCCACUAUACUUUCUUGUUCCUUAAGCUCCAUAUCAUUCAUCACUGUUUUUCCCUUCCUACUUAAGGCAUCAGCUACUACAUUAGCCUUACCAGGAUGGUAGUCAAUAACACAAUCGUAAUCUUUUAUUAACUCUACCCAUCUUCUCUGCCGCAUGUUCAACUCCUUCUACGACAUCAAAUACUUCAAACUUUUAUGGUCUAUAAAGAUUUGAACUUGUGUCCCAUACAAAUAAUGUCUCCAUACUCUUAAAGCAAACACCACCGCUGCAAGUUCUAGGUCAUGAACCGGGUAAUUCACCUCAUGCAACUUUAACUGUCUUGAUGCAUAAGCAAUCACACGCCCGUGUUGCAUCAAUACACAUCCCAGACCCCUUUUUGAGGUAUCACUAUAUACCACAAACCCUUCUGUCCCUGAUGGAAGGGCCAGCACAGGAGCAGAAGUGAGCCUCUCCUUUAGUACUCGAAAGCUCGUUUCACACUCUUCCGACCAAACAAACCUGACUUCCUUGCGGGUUAGCUUAGUUAAAGGUGAUGCUAUGGUGGAGAACCCUUCAAUAAACCUCCGGUAAUACCCAGCAAGACCCAAGAAACUCUGGAUUUCUAUCAUGUUGGUAGGCCUUUCCCAUUUUAACACGGCCUCGACCUUUCUUGGAUCCACAAUUAUUCUUUCUGAGGAUAUUACAUGGCCUAAAAAUACUACUUCCUUGAGCCAGAACUCACACUUAUCCAGCUUUGCAUAUAAUUGAUUUUCCCUUAAAGUCUGUAGCACAGCCCUGAGAUGUUGUUCAUGCUCCAAGUGAGAGUUGGAAUAUACCAGAAUAUCAUCAAUAAAUACAACCACAUAUUGGUCCAGGUAAGGCUGAAAUAUCCGAUUCAUCAAGUCCAUAAACAUGGCUGGAGCAUUGGUUAACCCGAAAGGCAUCACCGAAAACUCGUAAUGCCCAUAACGGGUUCGGAAGGCAGUCUUUUGUAUGUCUUGUUCCUUGAUUCUCAACUGGUGGUAUCCAGAUCUAAGAUCUAUCUUAGAGAACACACUAGCACCCUUCAACUGAUUAAACAAGUCAUCUAUUCGUGGGAGAGGGUAUCUAUUCUUCACCGUCACUUUAUUCAAUUGAUGAUAAUCAAUGCACAAACGAAGGGUGCCAUCCUUCUUUUUUACAAACAAUACCGGAGCUCCUCAUGGCGAGUUACUAGGCCGAAUGAAGCCUUUAUCUAACAAUUCCUGAAGUUGGACCUUCAGUUCUGCCAAUUCCAUAGGUGCCAUCCUAUAAGGAGACUGGGCUAUAGGAGAAACUCCUGGAAUAGUUUCUAUGGAAACUUCAAUUUCUCUAACUAGAGGUAAUCCAUGCAACUCUUCUGGAAAUACAUCUUGAAAAUCCCUCACAACAUGAAUACUAGUCAAAUCUAUGCUAACCUUCCCAAACUCUUUUACAUGGGCUAACCAAGCAGAACAACCUUUUCUCAGUAAUUUUCUAGCCAUCAAGAUUGAGAUUACACAACUUGGAAUUACUUUUCUUUCCCCUUUAAACACUACUUUUUUUUAUCACCUAUUCCUUGGAUUGUCACCGUUUUGGUGAAACAAUUCACUUGUGCUUUAUGCUUACUUAGCCAAUCCAUGCCCAUAAUCACAUCAAAAUCAUACAACUCUAACGGCAUAAGAUCUACCCUUAACUCUAAUCCUCCAAUAUAUAGUUUUACCCCUCUAUAAAUAUCAUCAAUAUGUAUAUUCUCUCCUAGAGGUGUACUAACCAUCACCCCUAUACGCAAGUCACUAGAUAACAUAUGCAAGUUAUUCACAAUUCUAUAAGAUACAAAGGAAUGACUAGCUCCAGGAUCAAUUAAAGCAUAAACUUGCAUUGUAUCUAAUUGUAAAGUACCUGCCACCACAUCAGGUACAACUCCCACAUCCUCGUAGGUCAUGUGAUAUACCCGACCCUGAGUCCUCCCCUCCGGAUUUCUAGGCCUCCCACUAGUAGCACUCGUCCCUGACUGGGUAGGUCUGAUAGGACGAUCAACUGUCACUGAUUGCUGUUGGCUCUGAACCUCAGUCCUUUGACCAUAGAUUCCCUCUGUGGUUCUACGAGGACAAUCCUUCUUCUUGUGACUCAUGUCCCCAUAAUAAUAACAGCCCCUGCCUACAUGCGGGCACUCUCUCCAUCGAUGCCCCUCACCUCUACAAAUAUAACAUCUCCCCGGCAUCACAGAGCAAUUUUCGAGGUGUCGCUGCUCACACCUCUGACAAAAUGGAUAUCCUGGUCCUUUUUGCUCUAUAGAACCUCCAGUAGUUCUGACUCCCUGUCUAGACUGUCCUCCCCAAGCUUCUCUUCCACUGACCGGUCUAGAUCCUCCUAAGCUCCCUCCUGGGGUGAAACUCUCACCUCUUUUCUGGAACUGUCCUGAUGAUUGCCCGCUCUUCCCCUUCUUUGAAAGAGGAGGUCUCCCGGUCAAAAACUCAAAAUCUCUCCUUUUAGCUCCCAUUGUCUGACUCUGCUUGCCCAUUGACUUCGGGGUAUCCUUUAUUACCCUCUUUAUACCCUGAGCAGCCCGUACCAAUUCUCGCACAGACUGAAACUGCAUGGCUAUCAAUAUCAUCCUCAAUUCCCGCCUCAAUCCAUCACGAAACCUCUCCACCCUGUGGCGCUCUGUGGGAAGGUAAGUGGAGGCAAAAACUGCUAAAUCCUGAAAUCUCCUCUCAUACUCCAGAACUGUCAAAUCUCCCUGCCUCAAAUCCAAAAACUCUUGUUCUUUCUCCCUCCUAUGCUCCCAAGAAUAGUACCUCUCCUCAAACUCUUCAUGAAAAUCCCUCCAUCUUAAUACCUCCCCUGAUCUCCUCUCUCUAAUGGUCUCCCACCAAGAGUGAUUUGACAGUGUUGCUACAAGGCCACGAACUCCUUAGAUUGGGAGCUCCCAACGGUUGAAGCACUACGGGCCGAUGCAAGUUGUCGGCCGUAGUGUUGGAGAGCCCGUAAACCUGAUUUUUAUCGGGCCCACCUGACAAUCCAACCUCCAUCCACAAAUCCGGAUCGAAUUCCGAAUGGGUUGUUGGAUUGUCCCCAUAUCUCUCCUUCAACCGAUUAUUAUAGGUCUCCUAAAAAUAAAAUAAAAAGUAAUCAUCAUAUUCAAUUCAAUAAACAUAAUAAUAACUUACAAAAUAAAAUGGUUGAACAAACAUACCACGAAAUAUUGAGAACGGCUGUCAACGAACUGUUGCGCCCCCUUUUGGCGGUCUUGACUCCGCAUGAGCGUCUCCACAAAGAGCUCCAUCGGGCUCGGCUCACGUCCAAGAGACGUAGCCUAUAAUGAAAAACAUUUAUUAACAACAAACGUUUCGCAAUUUAUUAACAAAUUAAUUGAACAAAAUAUUUCAUUUAAAUUAAUCUUACCAUCCGUUUUGCAUGUGCAGCAAACAAAACAGAGCCGCCGGUGUACGUUGUCACCGAGCCAUGAAUUGGCCGAUUCCAGUUGCCAGAACCGGACUGUGAGCGUCGUGUGAACCGCUCAGACGCCACGUGCUAAAGAUAGUGUGGCCAUAUAUCUUCUGGGAUGUAUAUCGGUUUGAAAUCCCUCCAAAUCGCAACAUCGUUCCAGCCUUGGAACCCCCUAUACCUUGCUGUUUUUUUUGCCUUUUUUUUGGGCUUCGUACCAAAAAUCACGCCACCUACUUCAUGCAAGAAAAAAUUACAUUUCGAAACAUAAAUUUUUUUCUAAAAAAAAAAUUGUAUUGUUUUCGAUGUUACCUUGUUGCCGCGUGAUUUUCCCAGACCCUCCUCACAAUAGUGUUAUGUUCACUGUUCCAGCAGAAUCGAUCCUAUGUCUAAAAAUUUAAUUUUUUUAAAAAAUAAUAAUUUAUUUACAAUUAUAUUAAUAAUUUAUUAGAAAUAAGCUUAAAAUUAUAUAUUAACACUAACCUCAAAUCUGGAAAACCAUGCAUUGAUUUGAGGCAUCCAUUCAGGAUGCCUUGAUAUCUGACUACAUUGAAACAAUGGAAUCUCCAUCGACGAUUUAAACACCGAUGAUAUUAAUCGUGCGGCCUCAAUGUUUGUGAACCUGAAAAUAAAUGAAAUUAAUGAAAUAGAGAUUACUUCAUAAAUUAUGUUUUAAUUUUUUUUUUAAAAAAACUAAAACCUUAACAAACUUACAUUGAAAGGUCAUCCUUCCACUGUGCCUCGUACUUGCGGGUAAAUUUAUUCCGCUGCGAAGGCACGCCGCAUCUGCACUGUGAACCAGUGCUGGAAGAGGUAGCAUCGGUUGACGGUGCAGGUGGUGUAGGUGCCUCUUCUUAAAAGGCACCUAAUGAAAUAUCGUCAUCGCUGCUAGACGAACUUGCUGCGACCGGACGUGAAUGACUAGCUCUGGUUUUCAUUUUCCGCAUCUACCCAAUUUUAUAUAAACAAUUAUAUAAUAAAAUGCAAAUGUUAAAAAAAAAUCAACAGCACCUCCCCUAUACUGUAUACUACCCAAAUCCACAAACCUGCAAAUAUUCACAAUAGCCACAACCAAUUGACCCAAUCUAUACUAAUUAUUCCAACAUAUUCAAUUACUAAUCCUAAGGUAAAUUCAACAUUAACAAUUAGAAUUCAAAACAUUAUUCAAUAAUUAUGGCAAUACAACAAAACAAUAAAUUCAAAAUAAAUGGAAACAAUUAAACUCAAAGCAUGCAAUAAUAGAGUAACAUUAAUAAUUAUUCCAACAUAUUCAAUUACUAAUUCUAAGGUAAAUUCAACAUUAACAAUAUUAAUUCAACAAAUUAAUCAAUAAUUAUGGCAAUACAAAAAUAAAAUAUAUUCAAUAAAUAAAAAAAGAAUUAUAGACUAACAAUUAAUAUCAAUGGAAAAAAAUUACACAAAUCAUGCAAUAAUAGAGUAAAAUUAAUAAUUAUUCCAACAUAUUCAAUUACUAAUUCUAAGGUAAAUUCAACAUUAACAAUUUAAUUCAACAAAUUAAUCAAUAAUUAUGGCAAUACAACAAUAAAAUAUAUUCAAUAAAUUAAAAAAGAAUUAUAGACUAACAAUUAAAAUCAAUGGAAAAAAUUACACAAAUCAUGCAAUAAUAUAGUAAAAUUACUAAUUAUUCCAACAUAUUUAAUUACUAAUUCUAAGGUAAAUUCAACAUUAACAAUAUUAAUUCAAAAAAUUAAUCAAUAUGGCAAUACAACAAUAAAAUAUAUUCAAUAAACUAAAAAAUAAUUAUAGACUAACAAUUAAAAUCAAUGGAAAUAAUUACACAAAUCAUGCAAUAAUAUAGUAAAAUUAAUAAUUAUUCCAACAUAUUUAAUUACUAAUUCUAAGGUAAAUUCAACAUUAACAAUAUUAAUUCAACAAAUUAAUCAAUAAUUAUGGAAAUACAGCAAUAAAAUAUAUUAAAUAAAUUUUAAAAAAAUUAUAGACUAACAAUUAAAAUCAAUGGAAAUAAUUAAACACAAAUCAUGCAAUAAUAGAGUAAAAUUACUAAUUAUUCUAACAUAUUCAAUUACUAAUUCUAAUUUAAAUUCAACAUUAACAAAAAAUAUUCAACAAAUUAACUAAUAACAAUUAUGCCAACACAACAAUAAAAAAUAUUCAAAAAAAAAAACUAUAGACUUUAGGAAAGAAAUAUACAUACCUUAAUAAUGUGUUGAAUUCAAAACUUUAUCUACAUUACAAAAAAAUACACCAAAGCAACAAAAUAACAAAAAUAAAAACAACUAAAAAUAAAAUAAAAUAAAAUAGAAGAAAACACAUACCUUUUAAUGUGAUGAAGAUUCACAACAACAAAUCUUGCUAGAGAUUCUAGGUGGAAGCCUUGAAGGAUUGAGAGGAAAAAAAUCAAAAUUUUGAGGUGAAAAACGGAGGAGAUGAAAAAAUGAACCCAAGCGGCGGGUGCUGGAAUUUAUAGGCCAGAUUUACCGACGGAUUCACCGACGGCAAUUAAAAAUUAUUUUUAUUUUUUAAAAUCCGUCGGUAAUAGGUCAAAAAUCCGUCAGUAAUUUUUGAAUUUCGCACCGAAAGUUUUAAUUACCCUUCAUAUUUUUUGCGGUCUGUCGGUGAUUCCAUCGGUAAUCUGACACGAUCAGAGGUGCAUUCAAUUCACACCCUUUGGAAUUCACACAUUCCGUCGGUAUUUGUGUCGGUAAACUUUGACCACUGAUAAAUUACCGACGAAAGUAUUUCGUCGGUAUCGGCGUCGAUAAAUCCGUCGGUAUAUGCGUCGGUGAUUUUGACAUUUUGUUGUAAUUAUUUUCGAGCUCUCUGUGAGAUGCCGACGGACGGUGGUCCGUCGGUAUAUGCGUUGGUGAUUGUGGUAUUUUGUUGUAAUUAUUUUCGAACUCUCUAUGAGAUGCCGACGGACGGUGGUCCGUCGGUAUUGACGUUGGUGAUUGUGGCAUUUUGUUGUAAUUAUUUUCGAACUCUCUAUGAGAUGCCGACGGACGGUGGUCCGUCGGUAUUGACGUUGGUGAUUGUGGCAUUUUGUUGUAAUUAUUUUCGAACUCUCUGUGAGAUGUCGAUGGACGGUGGUCCGUCGGUAUUGACGUCGGUGAUUGUGGCAUUUUGUUGUAAUUAUUUUCAAACUCUCUGUGAGAUGCUGACGGACAGUGGUCCGUCGGUAUUGACGUUGGUGAAUGUUCAAUGUACAAGAAAUGUUGUGUUUGUAUUUUCUAUUUACCUUCCUGCAAAAACUUCAAUGAUAAACUGUCCAUUGCACAAAACAAUAGCAACAAUGCUUAAACAAUAAAUAUAUAUUUCGUGUUACAAAAUAUAUCAUCCAUAAUGUAAAUCACAUGAAGAAAAGGGUUUUACGCAGGGCUCCGUUUUGAUAAUUAGUUAGAAUUUUCUUCUUCGUCGUCAUCAAUUGAAUAGUCAUCACCUUCAUCGCAAUCUUCAAUAUGGAUAUCAUCUUCUUCAUCGACAUUUGCUUGUCCGCUAGAGCUCAAAACAACGUUCAACUCCUCUACGUCAACAUCAAUAAGACUAUCAUUGGAAACACAAAAAUUUGAAUUUUCUUCCAAUUCAAUUGAAGGAGCAACUCGAUAUGGUUCAACCAACUCACUAACUUGAAAGACUUCAUCCUGCACACUUGUGUCUUUGUUCUCAUCCUGAACAACCUCGACACGACCCCGUGGUUUCAUUUUUACAACGGACAACCAAUUAACUCUUGAUUGAUCCUUUCUAAAUGAAGGGGUGUAUGUGUAAUAAACUUGUUGACAUUACUUUGCGAAAACAAAGACAUCGUUUAUGUUGCGGUGUCUAGCUUUUGAGUUGAUUUCGACCAGACCAUAGUGCAGAUCACCUCUGAUUCCUCUAUCAUUCGUGUCAUACCAAUAGCAUUUGAAUAAAAACAUUAUUCUGCUCGCUAUGAUAUUGCAGUUCGACGACCUCUUCUAAUCUACCAUAGUAGUCAACUUCUAACUCACUACUAGUGGAUCCCUUAACACAAACACCGCAGUUGUAUGUCUAUCUUCCUUGCCCGUAUUCUUCAGUAUGGAAAACAUAUCUAUUGACAAAAUACCCGUUGUAGCACUCCUUCCCAUUUGAUAAACCUUGUAUAUAUGUAAUGUACAUCAAUAAACAGUAAAUGAACUUGAAUCUCGUUAUGACAUGCAUGCAUACGUACAAUAAUUUUGUAGUUAGAAUGAGUUUGUGAUCGUGCUUACAUGUGUUCUGAAACACGUGGCGAAUUGUUCAUCUUGUAAUUGAAAGAUCUGGGAUUCGGUCAGCUGUGAGUUAUUGGAGAGCAAAUAUUGUCGAUGCUGCCUGCAAGUGAUAAUGAGUGUAUGAUAUUACAAUAUAUAAUUAACAGUAUAUUACUGACAAAGUUUAAUUAGUAUUACACAUAUAAACUUACUGAAUAAAAGGGCUCAGCUCAUUACCGUUAAAUAGAACGUAAUUGUGUGCUUGUUUGAAUUCUAUUUUCGACAAAUAUCUUCCUCUUACGGCAUUUUUAGGUGUGGGUCGUCUAGUAUUGGAGAAUAUUGACAAGUUUCCACUGGAAGGCACUUCACCGCCAUCAUCAUGCCGUGGAACGCGAUUGAUUGUUGUUCUCAGAUGAGGUUCAAAAUAGUAUGAGAUAAAUGUUGAGAUCUCCUCAACAAUAUAGGCCUCACAUAUCGAAGCCUCAACAUACGCCUUAUUCUUAACCUUUUUAUUGAGAUUAAACAAGUACCUGCAUUGAAUUACAAUUCAAGUAUUUUCAAUUAAGAAAAAUAUAGAAAAUACUUUUAUAUAUGAAUUACAUUGCAACUGUAAUAUCUAACCGUUCGAAUGGGUACAUCCAUCUAUACUGGACCGGUCCUCCAGCUUUUUCCUCGAAUGGUAGAUGUAUAGGGAGAUGCUCCAUUGAGUCAAAAAAUGAUGGAGGGAAUAUCAUCUCAAGUUUGCAUAAUGUCUCGAUGAUAUUCAUUUGAAGCCUCGCAAUGUGCUCAACAUUCAACUUGCUGGAGCAUAUAUCUCUAAAGAAAUGACUGAUUUCUGUUAGUGCAUUCCAUAUUCCCUUUGGCAACAAAUGACAAAAAGAUAAUGGGAUGAGUGUUUGCAUAAACACGUGGCAGUCAUGACUCUUCAUUCCAUACAAUCUGUAGUCCUCUAUAUUAACCAGCCUUGAUAUGUUCAAUGCAUGUCCAUCCGGAAAACACAAACUCUUAAGCCAUUUGUAGACUAGCAGUUGUGCGUUUUUCUUUAACACGAAGCUUGCCCUUGGUUUUGCGACCCAUGACUCAUCAUAAACCAACUCCAUAUUUUUACAGUUACAGUAUAAAGCUAUAUCCAAUCUAGCCUUGAUGUUGUCCUUUGUCUUCCCCUUCACAUCCAUGAAGGUGUUGAAAAUGUUCUCAAACACGUUCUUUUCGAUGUGCAUGACGUCUAGGUUAUGGCGGAGCAUAUUGGUCUUCAAAUAAGGAAGCUCCCAAAAGAUACUUUGCUUUACCCAAUUAUGGGUCAAACCAAAACCAGGAAACUUUUGCUUACCUGAUUGAAGGCCAAACACAAUGUUACCAUACUCUGAUACAACAUCAUGCAAUUCUUCACCAGAAAGACGCGGGGAUGCAACAUCUUUUUCAACUCUGCCAACAAAGAAAUCUUUUAUGUUCUUUCUGUACCUGUGAUUAAGUGGCAAGAAGCGACGAUGACAGUAAAAAAAAGAAGCUUUACCUCUGUUUGCUAGCGUGAAUGCCUUGUUGUUUUCCAUGCAGUAUGGAUUUUGUUUCCUCGAUAUAUCAUAAGUCAGAGCUCCGGAGAACCACAACUGCGCCACCUCAUCAAUCAACGGCCGAAGACAAACAUCUAUAUUCCACCCCGAGCUGCUUGGGCCGGGUAUGACAGUAGAUAAAAACAUGAACUCCGACCGUGCUUGGUGCCAUGUCAUGUGCUCAGCAGUCCUUGGUGACAUGAAUAACCUCUACAGUCUAUGUGUGAUUGAGAAGUAUCUAAGUUUUUUAUAGGCCACUAGAGUCUUUCCCAUGCCAGUUCUGGGUUUGUAACGGGAAUGCCUGCAUGUCAUGCACUCGAUCAUCUUACCAUUUUCAAGGUAAUAUAACAUACAGAAGUUAAGACACAUGUCAAUUUUUUGGUAUCCUAAACCGAGGGGUUUCAUCAUGGACUUCGCAGCAUAGAAGUUCUCUUUCAGCCUGUUCCCUUCAGGUAAAUGUUUCUCGCCCAUUCAAUAAUUUUGUCAUACCCGACCUCACUCAGCCCGUGAUCUGAAUUGAUGGUGAACACCUGUGCCACGGCCGAUAAUUUACUGUGGUUUGUGCAGCCAUCCCAUAAUGGUUCGUCAAAAUCUUUCAACAAAUAAAAAAACCUAGCUGUAUCUGCAUUAGGUUCUUCUUCUAUGAUUGGACAUUGACUGACAUUACCUUGAUUCAUUCUCAUUGCAUCCAUAACCAUAUUCCUGUAAGGAUUAGUGUUGUCAUUUGUCGUUUCAUGCAUGUUGCUAGCACUAGAAGUUGACCCAACCACCGUUUCUCCCAUUCUCGUCUUACUAACAAAUACUUGUCCAUGUACAUACCAACACUGGUAAUUCUCCAUAAACCCUUUGUGUAGAAGAUGCAUCAUUACAACAUCUGGAUGCAGAUACUUUUUAUUUUGACACUUUCUGCAUGGACACCUAAUACCGCCUCCACUAAAAUUUCUGGGAAUAAAUGUUGCGAAAUUAAUAAAACCCUGAACCCCGUUACAAUAAUCCAUCCUCCGCAAUCCUUGGAGUGAAUCUCGAUACAUCCAUGAACGAUCAUCCAUGACUUAUAUAUAUCGAACCUCUACAAAAUUAUGAUGACAUCAUGUAUUAAUUAACUAAGUUAGGUAAAUAAACUUGCUAUUACUUUACCUCGAUAUUAUCCAACAAACCAAUCACAACUUCUCAUAAAUAUUAAAUAUUCAUUAUGAUCAUUUAUUUAACGUCUAUACGUACAAAUUAAUAUAUAUAAAUUUACGAAAAUUACCACACCGCAAUACCAUUGAUAAAACUUAAAAUGGACCCAUUAAGCAAGCUAUUCAUUAUUUCAAAACAACACAUGUAAUUCGGUAAUUCCAUAAAGUUUUAACGAUUUACAAACAAAUACAAUCUUACAAAAUCUAAAACAAACCAUAACAUGUACAUCUACUAACAAAAUACUUAUACUAAAAAAAACAACAAAUUAAAUUGACAUUUAAAUGUUAAAAUUUAAAAAGAUAGAAUUACUUACAAAAAUUGAUAAAAUCCAUCGAAAAAUCAAAACACGGAUACUGUGACAACAAAACUUCAAGAAAUAUAACUUGUUGUGCUGAGAUGAGGGAGAUUUUUGUUUGGAUGUUGGCUGUUUGCAAAUGGGGAGAGUUGGGAUUAGGAAGAAGAAGGGGAAAUAGGGGAGGAGAGUGUCAGAAGCAGGGAACUAUACUAACUUUUACCGACGGUUUCACCAACGAAUAUUGUCGUCGGUGUAUCCAUCAGUAAAGUAGACAUGUCACCGUAUGGAUCAGCCAUUUCAAAUCCGUUGGUGAUUCCGUCGGUAUGUUUAAUGGUGAACCGGUCACGUCACUAUACGGGACUGUCAUUUUGAAUCCAUCGGAAAAAAACCUCCCCGCCAAAACCUCCACGUCAGCGACCCACCUUUUUUUUUAUCCUGAACUUUCCAUCCGCAAUUCGGUCGGUAACUACCGACGGACAUUACCCAUCGGCAAUUACCGAACGAAGUGCAGACGAAAAAAUUCCGUCGGUAAUUUCGACCUCAAAUUGCCGACAAAAAUAUUCCGUCGGUAAAUCCGUUGGUAUUAAGUGAAUUUCUGGUAGUGAUUCUCUCUUUACUUCUGCACAAACCGUCUUCAUUAGAGAAACGACAGCAAAGUAAAUUUUGUUGCUUUGGAUUUCAAGUAAUCUAAUUCUGUUGCAUACUUCUUUUAUUCCUAGAUUUCAAAUAAUAUGUUGCAUACUUAAUUUAUGCCGUAUGUAUUGCUUUAGUUGGUUACCCAAAAACUCAUAAUCUGUUGAUUGUUUCUUACUUGCUUUAGUUGCUUAUGUUGCUUUAGUCUGGAUAACAUGAUAAAUAUCAUGGGUUGUUAAGCUAUAGUUACUUCUAUGACUAUAGAGUAAUGAGCAACAUAAGUGAUAUAAAUUAAUUGCUUUAGAAGUUCUGUCAUAACAAUAUAGAUUAAUUGUUGAGAGACUGUAAUAGCUAGUCCCUACUGCUACCCCUGUGAUUUCAAGCUUAAAUUCAUAUCUUUGUUCUGUUUUGUUGAUGUUUUGUCGAUCUAUUUAUUAGUUUUUUUGGUUUUAUGAAUUGUGUAAAGUGGGUUGUUUUUGUUUCUUUGUUUUUCAGGCGUGGAUCUUAGAUCAUCUAAGAUUUGUGAGCUGGGGUUGUUGAAGAGCAGUGUUUAAGUUUAAGGUGAUUUUAUCUUGUUCUCUAGUACCAAGUAUUAUAUGACUUCUAUUGUGUAGCCUAAUAGUAUUAGUGUAUUACAAAUUGCAUUUCCUUUUCCAGAUGUAAAUAUACGUUUCAAUUUCAUGCUAAAUUAUUAGUUUUUUGUUUACUGUUGAUAAAAAAAAUAUGUAUGUAUUGCUUCUAAUUAAUUUGAUUGUGAAUUUGAUAAUAUAUAUAUAUAUAUAUAUUAUUGCAAAAUGUAGGCAUAUUCCAUAUGUAUUGCAAAAUGUAUCAUACGAUUUUUUUUCUUGCUUUUGCAUUAACUGACAGAAUAGUAGGCAAGGCAAUCUUACAUUAUUUCCAUAUGUAUUGCAAAAUGUAUCAUAGGUUUUUUUCUUGCUUUUGCAUUAACUAGCAGAAUAGUAGGCAAGGCAAUCUUAGGCUAUUUUCGCAUGUAUUGCAUGUAUUGCAAAAUGUAUCAUAGGCUAUUUGCAAAAUGUUUCUACAUAGCUAAUAAUAAUUGCUUGAUUGAUGUUGUUGUUGUUUUCUUAAUUUUAGAUGGAUAAUGGGAAAGAUCCUACAUCAAAUGAGUGAAAUCCUUGAAGUUCGGAACCAAAUUCUUUGCCUAUUCCAGUUCCAGCUACUACCUCCAGUACAAAUAGCAACAUUGAAGAAGGUAAUCUACCUUCUAGAUGCAAUAAAAGAAAAACAACCCAAAUUUGGGAUCACUUUAGAAAACUAGAUGGUAAUUCUAAAACUCCUAGGGCUGCAUGUAAGUAUUGUGCAAAAGACUAUGCAUGUCAUACUAUACUUAAUGGGACUAAUAACAUGUAGAGUCAUCUAGGUGUAUGCAAAAAAUUUCAUUUUGUCAUUUGUCACACGUCACCCGCGCGACGUCGGCUAGCGAUUUUUCAUUCAUUGAUUUGAUUUGUUGGUUCGUUGGGAGUCGCCACCUAGUAUUUUAUUGAGGGUUACUAGGAAACCCGGAUGUAUUGGUCUUGUCAGAGAUUCAUGGGUAAGGGACUGGUUAUGGUUAGGGAAGGUAUUAGCACCCCUAACGCACCCUACUUGAGGUGAGUUGCUUCGUGGCUUUGAUGUAUUAAAUAAGUUUUAAAAAUUGUCUUUUCAUCGGAUAUUGGAAAUAUGACCUACGUGUAAGUUCAUAAUUCUUGACCAUGAGCAAAUCAAAAUAUUAAAUUCUUCUUUAUUCUUUGUGAUUUUAUCAUAAAAAAACAUUCAUAAAAAAAAUAACAUCCAUCAAACAAAUACAAACACACACAUUCACUUUUACUAUAUUUUUUUCUUUUUUCUUUUUUCAUAUCCACACUACAAAAAUUAAAAAAAAAAACUAAAUAAAAAAAUACAUUACACAAUUUUAAAAUUACAAAAAUAGCCCCAAAACAAUCUAGAAUUAUAGGGAAGGCCUUCUACACCAUCGGAACAGUGGUGGUGCGUCUUCCCCACGCGUCCCCGCCACUGGUGAUGUGUGGGUUCACGCGCCGCCGCACUCAACGUUUGAAAAUGGACAGAUCAAGUCUGCUUUUUUCUUCUCUUCCCCUCCCUGUCGGUUGUGAGGAACACCAUCACUUACAAAAGAAGAAAACACGCACAAUACAAUCGAUUUCAAUUUUUUUCCCUAGUUUUUCAGAUUUUCUCCUCUACCUUCUGUUUUAGAUCUGCCUCACUGCAGAUCUUCCUUUUUUGUUUUUGUCUUCUCCUCUUCUGCGGCAGGUAGGGGUUCGGCUUGUAUGGGAUGGUGUCUGUAGGGGAGGAGCUAGAGGAGGAAGGUGUUAUUGCAUGGGGAGCAAGUCGUCACUGCUGAUUGAAGAAGGUGGGAAGUUCUAGCGGAUGAGGAAGAGACGGAGAGAGUGGGGCUGUCUUGGUUGGUCUGUGGCCAUUGCUGCUGAGGAGACCGAAGAAGAAGACACUACUAAGGUGAGGCUGGGAGAAGGCUGGCAGAGCAGAAGGAGACCUUGAAUAGGCUGGAUCUCUGAUGAGGACAAAUAAAGUGAGGAGGGUGAGGGGCUGUUUGAGAGAGAACUGGCUAAGGGAAAGGGGAGGUCUAUGAAAGUGGGGGUGUUCGGGUGGCUGGUCUGUGGGGGCUAAGAGAGGUGAGGGAUGAUGGGUGUUGGUCAACGGCUGGGAAGGGAAGAUGAAAAGGAAAAAUGGCCAGAGAGAGGGAAGAUGGCUGGGGAAGAGGAAGAAAAAAAAUCAGUGGGGUGCGGCUACUAUUUUGUUUUCAAGUGUAGGGGGGCGCCACUGACUGGUGUGAAGGAGAUGGGUUUUUAGGGUUAGGUUUUUUUUUAUUAAUUUUCUUCUAAAUGUGCAAAAUUGCCCCCCUCUUUUGUGUGGAAGGCUAUUAUUUAUAGGCCAAAUGUUGUUUGGGCCUCAAAAUUGGUCCCACAACUUUGUUUUUUUUUUUUUUGUAAAUUUUGAUUUUUCUUAAUUUUUUGUAUUUUUUGAAAAUGAGCAAUAUCAAUGUCGACUCAAUGAGAAAAAUCAAUGAUUUUAAAAAUGACACGUGAAAAGUCGAACGCGUUCAAUAGACCCUUGAAAUUUUUAAUUCUUUUUUUAAACGACGUUGAAAAUGUUAAAAACAAAGCAAAUAUAUUAAAAACAUAAUUUUUUUUUGUUGUUUUUUGCUAUUUUUGGAUUUUCUGAAACUUUUAUCAAAAAAGUGGGUAAAAAAUUGGGUAACAAUAGAUGCCCCCUCUUUACAAUGCUUACAAAGUAAAACUCCUCAAUGUUUUGCAUAGUAAGUUUUGUAAAGAAAAUAAAAGGAAAAUGAUCUCAUUAUCAUGGGCAACCUGUCCCUUUUGAAGAAAAGUGGUCUAUUUUCAGGGGCGAUCGGCCCACGCGCAGUCACACUGGUCUAUUUUCAGGGGCAACCAUCCACACGCACUUACGGUGACCUACCUAGGUGGAAGAAUGGCCUCAUUAUAAUGGGUGACCUACCCAGAUAAAAAAAAAUGGAGAAUUGGUCGCGUUGUAAUGGUGACCUACCUAGAAAAAAUGGUCUCAUUAUAAUGGGUGACCUACCCAAGUGGAAAAAAGGAAGAGUGAUGUCAUUGUAAUGAGUGAUCUAUCCAGGUGGAAGAAUGGCCUCAUUGUAAUGGGUGACCUACCCAGAUAAAAAAAACAUGUAGGAUUGGUCGCGUUGUAAUGGGUGACCUACCUAGAAAAAAUGGUCUCAUUGUAAUGGGUGAUCUACCUAGGUGGAAGAAUGACCUCAUUGUAAUGGGUUACCUAUCCAGAUAAAAAAAACAUGGAGAAUUGGUCAUAUUGUAAUAGGUGACCUACCUAGAAAAAAUGUUAGUCUCAUUGUAAUGGGUUACCUAUCCAGAUAAAAAAAACAUGGAGAAUUGGUCAUAUUGUAAUAGGUGACCUACCUAGAAAAAAUAUUAGUCUCAUUGUAAUGGGUGACUUACCCAAGGAAAAAAAAAGAGUGGUUUCAUUGUAAUGGGUGACCUACCCAGGUAAAAAAAAACAUUGAGAAUUGGUAGCGUUGUAAUGGGUGACCUACCUAGAAAAAAUAUUGGUCUCAUUGUAAUGGUGGACUUACCUAAGGAAAAAAGAAAGAGUGGUCUCAUUGUAAUGGGUGACCUACCCAGGUGGAAGAAUGGCCUCAUUGUAAUGGGUGACCUACUUAGAUAAAAAAAAACAUGGAGAAUUGGCCGCAUUGUAAUGGACGACCUACCCAAACAAAUGUUGGUCUCAUUGUAAUAGGUGACCUACCCAAAGAAAAGGAAAGAGUGGUCUCAUUAUAAUGGGUGACCUACCCAAGUGGAUGGCCAGGGUUCAAAGGCAAACUUGAAUGGAGGUAGGGUUAGAAAACGCAUUACCUAAGAGAUGGUGGCUUAGGGGCACACUCAGAAGGAGGCAGGGUUAGAAAAUGCACUACGUGAGAAGUGAGGGCUCAAAGAGGCACUCGAAAUGAGUAGGGUUAGAAAAUGCACUACCUGAGAAAUGGUGGCUCAAAGGUGCACACAAAAGGAAGUGAGGGCUCAAAGGCGCACUCAAAAUGAGGUAGGGUUAGAAAAUGCACUACACAAGAGAUGGUGGCUCAAAGGCACACUCGAAAGGAGGUAGGGUUAAAAAAAAACACACUACUUGAGAAGUGAGGGCUUAAAGGUUCCUUCAAAAGGAGGUGUAACACUGAUCUGUCAAUGAUGAAAGCAAUGUAUUAUGAAUGAUAUGCAUGUACACUUACUUGAGAAAUAUGGGUCCCUAUUUAUUCAUAGUGUCUUUCUUUUCUCAAAAGUUUGAGUGUUGAUAGUAAACAUCGAUGGCUUUUCCUUCUUGUUUACUCGAGUCAUAUCUUGUGUUCUUGACCUCUAGGAAGGAUUUCAAAUCAUCAUUUGCCCCCCGCCUUUUAUCUCAAGGAUUGCCAAUUUUGCCUGGUAUUUUUCUUAGAAAGGAAAUCAUGGUGCUAACCCUACCAGAUGUUUUUGAUUGCCCCCCAUCUUGAUCAUGUCCUCAAGUGUUAAAUUCGGGUUUGGAGAUGAUGCUAUAUGAAGGAAGGUUUGACAAGGAGUUAUUUUCAUUCAAAAAUUUUGGAAUUUGAAAGCUAUUCCAGACAUAGAAAUCCCUUUGACAUCGAUUCAAAGUAAACUAUUUUUGAAGAAAUCCAAGUGAUUCCUAUGGAGAGGUUUUCAAGAGUGAUGAAAACUUUUUUUUGUUUUGCUUUUGGUGAAAAAUGUGAAGUGACGUUUGGUUGGUCAAAAAUGGUUUGAAUUUCAAUUUGAGGGUUACAGAGAACCAAUUUUCAAAGCAUUAUUUUAUUUGCAUGAAUAAUGAUUUGCUUCGCAUGAGAAAGCACUGCCUACCAAUGAUUGCUCGCCUUUAAUUAGAAAAGGGCUUGAUUAGGCACGUAAUAUAGGCUUGGGCUAUUGGUUAUAAAGGAAAAGGAUAUUUACAAGCUCAAAACGUGUUUAAAGGGAUUUCAAAACUAAGGAUCACUAGUGUUUGUUUCCUGACCUUUUAUCUUUUGAAUUUGUUUCCAUAAUGGUCUGUUGUGCUCCCCAGUGUUGGGCUUGGGCUCUUUCAUUUUGUUUUCUUCAUUUGGUUUUGAGCAUCAUCGUAUUGGUUUUUUUUUUAUGCUUAAACUUUUUGAAUCCUUUGGAUUUUUCUUCAUGCUCCUUAGCUUUGUUCGGGUACCUUUAAUGAUUGAGAACUUUCUUUUUAAUGCCCUCCAGUGUUGCUUGGGCACUUUCAAUCAUUAAGUUUUUUUUUUUUGUCUUUUGCACUAGCCCCCCAAUGUGAGGUGUGAUCCUAGCCAAGGUAAUUUAUCUCAAGAAAAACAUUAGACUCAAAAGGGGACUGCAAUUGUAUAUUUUAGCCUCAUAAACGGAUUAUAAAAAAUGGCCUUUCCUCAUCUCAAACACAUGCACUUUAGAUCGGUAAGCCUUGCUUUCAUUCGAGUAUGCAACAUGAUUUCUCAUUAUUCAUUCAAAUAAAACUCAACUUUGGAGUCAAUUCAUGGUGUUUUUUUUGUUUUUUGUUUUGUUUUUCCUUUUUUUUUUCAGGUUUUCUAGGUGUAUGGUUACCUUUCUAAGGAAUCAUUUAAAUUUUCAAAACUCGUUUGUUUUGGACAAACACCAACAUCAUUUUUGUUUUUGUACUAAACUUUGAAUUCCCAAAAAUCCUUGUGAAGACGUGCGAUCAUGCAUAGUUUUGGAAGAAAAGAAAAACACACCAAAAGAUUCUUGGCACAAUGGUUUCAUGCUUAAAGGUUAUGCUCAAUGUGUUAUUUGCAUGAAACUACAACAAAAAGAAAGGCAUGUUAUGAACACUAGAAAACAUAUUGUUGUAACCCAUUUUUGGGUCCCCAUAAAAAAAUAAUAAAUACAAAAAAUAAAAAAUAAAAAAUGAAAGGCUAAACGGUGCCGUUUUGAACGACACUGUUCCCCUUUCUUCCCCACCGAGCAUACAGCAGGAAAGAAGGAAAAAAAAUGCAUAUUUAAUGACGCCGGUCCCUCAAGCCCAUCGACCGCUGGUCCCUCUAGCCCACCGACCGAAGACAUUGGCCGACCACCUACAGCACCACCGAAACCGAGGGAGGCACGCCUGGACAGCCGCGCCCGACCAGCAGGAGACAGAGAAAAGGGGGGGAGAGAAGAGAAGGGAGAGACAGAGAGAAGAAAGUAGAAGAGAAGGGAGAGAGAGCGAAGAAGAAGAAGAAGCAGAGAAGAGAGUAAAACAGAGGAGAGAGAGAGAGAGGAAAACAGCACCGCCGGCCACCGCGAACAGCCAGUUCCGCCGCCGCCACCCCUGCCACAUCAGUUGCUGCCAACAUCACCACCGCUCCAGGUAGCCUUUCCCAUCGUUUUUUUUUUGGUUCAGCUUCAUCUGCAUGCAGAACGUUUACGUUCUGCAGCAGAUGAAGAUUAAUUAGCGAGUUACUACUAAUUAAUUCGCGGUUACUGUGCAUGUGCACAGUAACCCGCAGAUUAAUUAUCUGGUUACUGUACACACAGUAACCCCGGUUACUAUGUGCACAGUAGUCAGCCCAUUCUUUGGGCCAGGUUCGGCCCAACCCAUAUAUCUGGGCCUGAUCCGGCCCAUUUCAAAGAAAAAAAUCAAAAAUAUUUGUUUCAGCAUUUUAUAAUUUUUUCGUGUAAUUUUUAUGUCAUUUCGAUUAAUAUUUGGUGGUAUUUUUUUUAUGUUGUUAAAAAUACAAAAAUUUGAUUUUCAAAUACCCGGUUUUCGUCAAAAAAAAAAACUUCCACAAAAUACAAAAAAAAGAAAAAAAGAAAAAAAAAUGUUUUUGUGCAUACGGCCAAGUGUCUCAAAGCUAAAAAUUCAUAUUGUAUUUUUUCAUACACAAAAAAAAAUGUUUUUGCAUGCAUUUUGGCUUUAAUAACCAGUUUAUUAAAGUCAAGAGAAUAUUGGCCAAUAUCUCAAAAACAACAAAAAUUUUAUUUUGUUUGGCUCUUAGUAUCCGGGGUAUGACUUUACAUGUAAUGCAUAUUCCGGAUAUUUAAUUCUUUUUUUUUUUUACAAUAGAACCUAGGGUAUGACAUUACAUGUAAUGCGUAUUCCGAACAAUAAAAAACCACAACACGACCUUAGAUUUUAUCAGACAUUAAAACAAUGCAGCUUACCUUAGGUAGGGCGUAGUUGGGGUGCUAAUACCUUCCCUUUACGCAACCAGUCUUCGUACCCGAUCUCUAAAAACUAGUUAAGGUUCCUAGUAACCAGAAUACUAGGUGGCGACUCCCUGUCCAUUUUUUAGCUUAGAGACAAAGAACUCCUUGUAUCACCAUAUUUUCCAUGCCAAAUAGACAACAUACCACACCCUCAUGAAGGGUUGGGGGUGGACGAUCGCCGCGCCGCCGCACACGUGCGACAAAAUGGCGACUCCACUGGGGACUUUGUGGACUAAGCUUUGUUUUUGUCUGAUGAUUGUGUUUUAUUGUUGUGGUUUGCGUGUUUAUUUUUAAAUAUGCAUUUUCUUUAUAUAUUUGUUCAUAUUUAGUUGUGCGCUUUAAUUUUUGUACAUAUUUAUCUCAUGCAUCACAUAAUUAAUUUUUUUUAAAAGCACACACAAGCUUCAGGUUAGGGGGGAACUAACAGCUUACCUUAUGACUUUUAGUCAAGGUUUAAGUUUGUGUAAACCCCAACUCUUCGUUGAGUGCUUAGACUGGUAAUAGUUGGACACGUGCCAUCUCACUGCCUACAAGCCCCCAUAUUGCCUCCACGAGGGCGAUCAUUGGGACAACGAGAGUCCUGUUUUAGAGACCAAAUAGUAAACCUACCUUUUGUCUCACUUAAAAAGAUUAGAACCUGCCUUUAGGAUGUAUGCUCCGUAUACAUUGUUUUGCAUCCGAGCAAGCCCUUCUUGAAGCAUCUUGAACUCCAGACUUAUGGGUGACACAAUGACCGUCGCUUAGAAAAAUUUCAUUGUAGAGUUUGUGCAAGAAUCAAGAUUCUUGUUUCAUCAUACAAGAGUUGCGACCAUAUGUCACCCCUCGAAGGGCGAGUUCGUCAGAUAGAUUACAUGUUCAUACAUUUAACAUGCAUACAUGUCAGAUUGAAAUAUAGGUCCCCAAAAAGUCUACAACACCCGACUUCGAGCAAGAAACAUGGAAGAUGAAGAGCGUGCUCAACGUGAUGCCUAUUUGCACGAGGAGUUGGAGUCUCUGAAAAUAAGUGUGGCUCACCUCAUGAAGGGUUGGGGGUGGACGAUCGCCGUGCCGCCGCACACGUGCGACACAUAUGAUCUUAUUAACAAGAAAGGCUAAUUUGAAAGAGAAACUCUUGUGGCAUUAGGAGCUUACCAACAAGAUUGAAACAGGUUGAAACAAAAAAAUCAAAAAGCUUUGAUGGCAUGACGAAACAGAGGUGGUUAUGUUGGACAGAACAAGAAAAGACUCCAUUCUGCAACUGUGGUGCAACUCCCCUUCGGCUAGCCUUCCCAUGAAAGCUUUUGUAGAAAUACUGGAUUGUGUUGAGGCUCUUGACCAUGUUUGCCCCUAAUUUCUUCAGGCUGAGUCGUUGUUGGGGUUUGAAUAAAGAUGAUAGGUCGGUUGGAAGGAACUUCACCAGAGUUAUUUCUUAGUAUUUGCUCGAGUAAGCUAGAGGCGAGUCGUGGUUGUCUUUUGAGACUCCAACUCUUCUUGAAAAUGGAUAUUAUGGUGAGCACACUCUUCAUCUUCCAUUUUUUUUUGCUCAAAGUCAGGUGUUGUAGAAUCGUAGGGGACCUACUUUUCAUCUCGGUGCAUGCAUGAAAAAUGUAUGAACAUGUAAUCUAUAUGAUGAACUUGCCCUUCGAGGGGUGACAUAUGAUCGUAACUCUUGCAUGAUGAAAUAAGAAUCUUUAUUCUUGUCCAAACUCUACAAUGAAAAUUUUCUAAGUGACGGUCAUUGUGUCACCCACAAGUCUUGAGUUACAGAUGCUUCAAGAAGGGUUUGGCCUGAUGUAAAUAAAGAUAGCACAUACAACCUAAGGACAAGUUCUAUUCAUUAUGUGAAUAUGGGUAGGUUUUUUACCUGGCUCAAGAGGGUCUCAUAUAUGCCCAGUGAUGAUCUUCGUAAAGACAAUAUAGAAGCAUUGCAAGAAAUGGUUAAGGCACGUAUAUCCACCAUUACCAAGCGAGUACUUAGAUAUGCGUUGGGUGUUUCAUGCAUCUGAACCCUGAUCAAUAGUCUUAAGACAGAUCGCUAGUUCCCCACCUAACCUAGAAGCUUGUGUGUGCUUUGAAAAAUUAAAACAGGUGAUGCAUGAGACAAUUCUAUAAAAUGCAUGGAAACAAAAACAUUAAAAAAGAGAUAAAACUGCAAAAACUUAGACACAUGGUCAAGAACAACUUAGACACACUAAGAAAUACCUCUGAUGAAGGUCCUUCUAAUCAACUGAUCACCUUUGAUCCGACUCCUACUUCAGUUCAGCCUGAGGAAAGAAUGAGCGAACAUGGUCAAGAACCUCAGCAAAAUCUAACAUUUGUGCAGUCAACGACACCUGCACCAUCCCCAACAGUUAUGAAGGCAUCUGCUAAUGAGUCCCACAAGGCUAAGUCAUCUGAUAGCAUUGAUCAAGCUAAGAUAGAGGCGCUGGAAGCCAGACUCAAAGCCAUUGAAGGGGUAGACUUAUAUGACCCGGUACGGGCAGUAGAGAUGUGUUUGGUCCCAAACGUGGUUAUCCCAAAGAAAUUUUGUGUUCCUGAAUUCAUCAAAUACAGUGGAACACAAUGCCCCAUGACUCAUCUCAGGUCCUACUGCAAUAAAAUGGCUGAGGUAGUACAUGAUGAAAAACUACUAAUGCACUUUUUCCAAGACCGUUUAAGUGGGGCAACUUUGAGUUGGUACAUGAGAUUGGAUAACACAAAAAUUCGCAACUGGAAAAAUCUUGUGGAUGCUUUCGUCAAGCAAUACAAAUACAACAUGGACAUUGCGCCCGACAGAACCAGUUUGUCCAAUAUAGAGAAAAAGGAUAAAGAAAGCAUAAGGGAAUAUGCUCAAAGAUGGCGAGAAUUAGCUGCUCAAGUACAUCCCCCACUUCUGGACAAAGAGAUGGUCUCUUUAUUUGCCAACACACUCAAAGCACCAUAUUACGAACAUAUGAUGGGUAGUUCAGCCCAACAAUUCACUGAUGCUGUGAUAGUGUGUGAACGCAUAGAGCAAGGUGUCAAGAGUGGUAGAAUUGCUGCACCAACCGAGAAAAGAGGCGUCGAAAGAAAAGAGGUUCACCAUGUUGAAGAUGGCUACAUGGGUAAAAAAAUACAUCCCAAAAUUACCAUACUCCAUCCCAAAUUGCCAACAUCAAAAACCUGAACCCCAAAACUUUCAAGCCAAAAGCCAAAUUGGAAAUUUCCAAAGGGUUCAAGAACAACUACCUCCACUACCGUUACCCCUGAAUGAGAUGUAUCAAAAGCUAUUGAGCAUCGGGCAAAUAGCUCCAGAACCUCUGACACCUCUGCAGCCACCUUAUCCUAAUUGGUACAAGCCAGAACUCAAUUGUGAAUACCAUGCCGGUAUUACUGGGCAUAGCAUCUAUACCUGCAAUGCCUUCAAGAGAAAGCUUCUGCAAUUAAUCAAGGUAGGGUGGAUAGAAUUGGAAGACACCCCCAAUGUGAAUACGAACCCGCUGCCUAAUCAUGCUUGAAGCAUAUUAGGAUGGAAUGUUUGGGGAAUUGGAAAGCAUCAAUGGUCCAGCAUGAUAGCUUGAAUUUUUUACCGUGGUGUUGUUCCGCAUUGUCUUUGAGUCCUCUACGCAGAGCUUUUGAGAGGAGUUUAGCCUAUGAACAGAUUCGCCAAAAUAGAGGAAUGAAGCCUGCCUUGUUAUUGCCUUUUGUUAAUGCUUUUGAAUAAGACUUUCUCUGUUAAUGAGCUUCUCUUGUGAAAUAAGAUCAUGUGUUUUCUUGUGUUCACAUCACACUCUUCUUUGUUGUUAUUACAUGUAAAUAACAUUUUGAGCGCAACUUUGCUCACAACACUACAACAUGAAGAAUCCUUUGGUGUUCCUUUCUUCCAAACCCAUACAUUAAUCUCAUAUGUUUUCAAGGAUAUUUUUUUGGGACCUCCAAAGUGAGUACAAAAACAAAAAUCGUGUUGAUAUUUGUCCAAAACAAAUGCAUUUUGAAAAUUCAAGUGAUUCCUUAAAUAGGUACACAUAUACCUAGAAAACUUGAAAAAAAAAAGACAAUAAAGACAAACAACACUAUGAGGUGACUCAAAAGCUGAGUUUUAUUUGACUGAAUAAAUCACUUUGCAUACGCGCAUGAAAGCAAGACCUAUCGAUCCUCAAUGCAUGAGUUUGAGAUGAGGAAAGGCCAUCUUUGAUAAUCCUUUCACAAGGCUGAAAUAUAUCCUUUGCAGUCCCAUUUUGAGCCUAGUAAUGUUUUUUGGAAAUAACCUUGACUAGGAUCACACCCCACACUGGGGGGCAAAAUAAGAGAGUUUGUUGUUUUUACCAUCCAGACAAAGCAGUGAAGAUGGGUGCUGGAAUUGAUCAUGUAAUUUUUCAUCUUUCAUUAUCAUCCAAAUGAAACAAUGAAGAUAAAUACUGCGAUUGGUUAAAAGAUUUGAGCUUCUCAUAAAAACAACUGAUAUGAUUGUGCUCAACGAAACAAAAACGAAGAAAACAAAGAGAAAAGCCCAAACCCGACACUGGGGCAGGACAAAUCAUUUUAAAAAAAAAACAAAUCCAAAAGACAAAGGUCAGGAAACAAGCACAAGUGAUUCCUAGUUUUUGAAAUCCCUUAAACACUUUUUGAGCCUGCAACAUAUCCAUUUUCUUCGUAACCAAUAGCCAAAGCCUACAUUAUAUACCUGAUAAAGCCCUUUCUGAUCAAAGGCAAGCAAUCUGGAUAGGUAGGCAGUGCUUUCUCGUGUGGGUCAAAUCAUUAUUCAUGCAAAUAAAAUAAAUGCUUUGAAUCAAUUCGGUUCUCAAUAACCCUCAAAUUGAAAUUUAAACCUUUUGUGACCAACCAGAUGUCACUUCAUCUUUAAACCAAAAGCAAAAAGCUUUCAUCACUUCAAGAAACCUGUCCAUAGGAAUCACUUGAAUUUUUUAGAAUAAGUUUAUUUUGAACCAAUGUCAAAAUCAUUUUUGUGAUUGGAAUAGCUUGGACGUUCCAAAAAUUUUGCAUGAAAAUUAUCUUUUCAUGGCUUCGAAAUGUUAAAGAAGUUUUCAAAAUUAUCUUUUCAUCGGAUAUUAGAAAUAUGACUUACGUGUAAGUUCAUAAUUCUUGACCGUGAGUAAAUAAAAAUAUUAAAUUCUUCUUUAUUCUUUGCAAUUUUAUUUUCAUAAUUCCAAAUAGCUUCCUCCUUUCUUCCUUUCCUAGCUCAACCAAUUGAUUUUGGUUUUUAUUUCCUUUGUUUUUCAGAUCCGCUUUGGUUUCCUUUCUUAGAUCGGUCCCGUUUCUCUGCCUUCUCCCUUCUAUAUUUCAGGUGGUCGGUUGUAUGACUAAGAGGUUGUCGGUGACAAAUCUUUUGUUGUCUAACCGGUGGAGAUGGAGGAGAAAGGAGUGUUGUCUGGUCGCCGGUUUCGAUUGGAAAUGAGGUUGGAUCUGCGGGCGCUGCUGAAGGGAGAAGGCGGACCGAUCCGAGUCUGUAGGCGCCGCCGUGCUCGGGCUGUUAUUGGAGGGUCUAAUUUGGUCUUGAAGAGCUGGCUGGUUGGCGGUGACGGAGAUCGGCUGAUAUUGUGGUCUGGUUUGUUCCUUGGCCGAUCUGUUAAGAGAGGAGAGGAGUUUUGAUGGGAAAGAGAAAAGUGAGGGGGAGCUGAUGGUUGGCUUCUGUUUUUUUUCUUUUGCAAAGGUGGGGGGGCGGCCAGUUUUGGUUUUGCCAAGGGAAAGGAGUAGGUUUGGUUUGUGUUUUGCAAAGAGAGGAGGGCCAGCUGAGAGUUUGUGCGCAGGGAGGAUGAGGUGUGGCUGAGGAGAAAAAAAAUUCAGAAAGGGGGGCGGCUGCUUCGGGUCAUUCGGGUGAGAGAAAAGAAUAGGUUUUGGAUGAUGGGGGCUAUCUUGGCUGAGAGGGAGAGGCUCCUUCGGGUGGCCGGGAAGAAAAGCCUUUUGGCUGGCCAGAAUCAGGGCAGUUGUGAUGAGGAGGGGCGGGGACUUAGAGAAGAGAUAGAUCUAUGGUUUCCUGGUUUUUUUUUAAUCUCCAAACUACCCGCCUCCCCUUUGUGAAUUUUUCUCCCCCCUAUAAAACUAUUUUUGACUUAUAUUUAUACGUACAAUGUUGCUUGGUCCUCCAAAUUGGUCCCUCAACUUUCAUUUUCUUUUUUUUUUGUAAAUUUUGAAUUAUUUUUAUUUUAUCAACAUCAACUCAAUGAGGAAAAUCAAUUAUUUCAAAAAUAAUGCGUAAAAAGUCAUACGCGUUCAAAAGACCUUUGAAAAAUUAAAUUCUUUUGAGAUGAUGCUGAAAAUGCUAAAAACGAUACAAAUAUAUUAAAAACAUAUUUUUUGGAUUUUCAUUGUUUUUCACUAUUUUUGGAUCUUUUUCAAAAAUUUUAUCAAAUAGGUGGGUCAAAAAUUGGGUAACAACAGAUAUUCUGUCGCACGUCACCUGCGCGAUGUUGGUUGGUGAUUUUUUGUUUCGUCUGCUUGCUUCGUUGGGAGUCGCCACCUAGUAUUUAAUUGAGGGAUACUAGAAAACCCGGAUGUAUUGGUCUUGCUAGAGAUUCAUGGGUAAUUGACUGGUUGUGGUUAAGGAAGGUUUUAGCACCUUUAACGCACCCUACCUGAGGUAAGAUGCUUCGUGGCUUUGAAAUGUUAAAGAAUUUCUAAAAAAAUUUUAUUUUCAUCGGAUAUUAGAAAUUCGACUUACGUGUAAGUUCAUAAUUCUUGACUGUAAGCAAAUUAAAAUAUUAAAUUCUUCUUUAUUCUUUGCAAUUUUAUCAUAAAACAAAUCCAUAAAAAGCAUACAAACACACACAUACACUUUUACUAUAUAUUUUACUUUUUUUCCUUUCCUUUUUUUUAUUUUUUUACAUCCUUCAAAAUACAAACUCAAAACAACUAAACAAAAAUUACAUUACAUAAUUUUAAAUUUACAAAAUAGCCCUUAAAAAAUCAAGGAAUUGCAAAGGAAGGCUUCUGGAAUUGUAGGACCUGUGGCGGCGCGUAUCCUCCUUGCACCACUGCCACUGGUGGUGCGUGAGUUCAUGUGCCACCGCAUGAAAAAUCCGAGAAAGAAAGGGGAUCCUGAACAACUUCCUCCCUUCUUCAUUUCCUCGCUGGCGGUGACCUGUAAAAACAGCAAAUCACAACCAGUUGAUUUUAGUUUUUAUCUCCUUUAUUUUUCAGAUUUGUUUCGGUUUUCUUUCUUAGAUCGGUCCCGUUUCUUUUCCUUCUCCCUUCUCUGUUUCAGGUGGCUGACUGUAUGACCAAGAGGUUAUCGGUGACUGAGCUUCUAUUGUCUGAUCGACGGAGAUGGAGGAGAAAGGAGUGUUGUCUGGUUGUCGGUUUCAGUUGGAAAUAAGGUUGGAUCUACAGGCGCUGGUGGAGGGAGAAGGCAGACUGAUCCGAGUCUGUGGGCGCCGCUGUGCUUGGGCUGCUACUGGAGGCUCUGCUUUGGUCUUGAAGAGCUAGCCGAUUUUCAGUGAAGGAGAUCAGCUGCUGCUAUGGUUGGGUCUGUUCCUUGGCCGGUCAGCUAAGAGAGGAGAGGAGUCUGGUGAUGGGAAAGAGAAAAGUGAGGGGGAGCUGAUGGCUAGCUUCUGUUUUUUUUUCUUUUGCAAAGGUGGUUGGGGGGGGGGGAGCGGCCAAUUUUUGUUUUGCAAAGGGAAAGGAGUAGGUCUAGUUUAUGUUUGGAAAAGAUAGGAGGGUUGGCCGAGAGGUUAUGUGUAGGGAGGAUGUGGCUGAGGAGAAGAAAAAAAUCAGAAGAGGGGGCGGCUGCUUGGAGUCGUUCGAGUAAGGGAGAAGAAAAGGUUUUGGAUGAUGGGGGCUGUCUUGUCUAAAAGGGAGAGGCUCUUUCGGGUGGCCGGGGAAGAAAAGCUUUUUUGUUGGCUAGAAUCAAGGAAGUAGUGAUGGGGAGGGGGGCAGCGACUUGGAGAAGAGAUAGAUCGAGGGUUUUCUUUUUUCUUUUUUUUUUACUCUCCAAACUGCCCCGUCCCUUUGUGAAUUUUAUCCCCCCCCUAUAUAAUUUUUUUUACUUAUAUUUAUAGGUAAAAUGUUGCUUGGUUCUCAAAAUUGGUCCUCUCCUAUUUUUUUCUUCUUUUUUUUGUAAAUUUUGAAUUUUUUUUUUGUAUUUUUUGAAAAUAAGCAAUAUCAACAUCAACUCGAUAAGGAAAAUCAAUUAUUUCAAAAAUGACACGUGAAAAGUUGAACGCAUUCAAAAGAUCUUUGAAAAAUAAAUUCUUUUGAGACAAUGCUGAAAAACCUAAAAACGAUACAAAUAUAAUAAAAAAAUAUUUUUUGGAUUUUCGUUGUUUCUCUCUAUUUUUGGAUUUUUUUCAAAAAUUUUAUUAAAUAGUGGGUUAAAAUUUGGGUAACAAUAGAUGCCCCUUUUUUACAAUGCUUUCGAAGCAAAACUCCUCAAUGUUUUGUAUGGUAAGCUUUGUAAAGAAAAGAAAAGGAAAAUGAUCUCAUUAUCUUGGGCGACUUGCCCCUUUUGAAGAAAAGUGGUCUAUUUUCAAGGGCGACCAGCUCACACACUCAUACUGGUUAUUUUCAUGGGCGACCUGCUCACAUAUACUCAAAGUGGUCUAUUUUCAGGGGCGACCAGGCCACACACUCGUACUGGUCUAUUUUCACGGGCAACUUGCCCACACAUACUCACUUUGAUCUAUUUUCAUGGGCGACCAGCCCACACCGUCUCACUAGUCUAUUUUCACGGGCGACCUGCCCACAUAUACUUAAAGUGGUCUAUUUUCAGGGGCGACCAGCCCACAUACUCACACUGGUCUAUUUUUAGGGGCGACCUGCCUACACAUAUUCAAAGUGGUCUAUUUUCAAGGAUGACCUGCCCUCUUGAUUUGGUUUACCUGAGAUCCCAUCUAGCAAUCUAAUAAGAACCAAAAUCGGUGUGUAGCUCGGUCAACCUGAAAUCCCAUCUAGCAAUUCCUUUAACCAGAGCUAAAUUCUGCAUAGUUAGGCUAAACUGAGAUCCCUUCGCCGGUCCCCUUUAUAAUUAGGCUAAACUGAAAUCCCAUCUAGCAAUUGUAUAGUAAGCUUUGUAAAGAAAAUGAAAAUGAUCCAUUAUCUUGGGUGACCUGCCCCUUUUGAAGAAAAGUGGUCUAUUUUCAGGGGCGACCAGCCCACACACUCAUACUGGUUUAUUUAAUGGGCGACCUGCCCACACAUACUCAAAAUGGUCUAUUUUUAAGGGCGACCAUGCCACACACUCACACUUGUCUAUUUUUACGGGCAACUUAUCCACACAUACUCACUUUAAUCUAUUUUUAUGGGUGACCAGCCCACACCGUCUCACUGGUCUAUUUUCACAGGCGACCUACCCACAUAUACUUAAAGUGGUCUAUUUUCAGGGGCGACCAACCCAAACACUCACACUAGUAUAUUUUCAGGGGCGACCAGCCCACACAUACUCAAAGUAGUCUAUUUUCAAGGGCAACCUACCCUCUUGAUUGGGUUUACCUGAGAUCCCAUUUGGCAAUCUAACAAGAACCAAAAUUGGUGUGUAGCUCGGUCAACUUGAAAUCCCAUCUAGCAAUUCCCUUUAACCAAAGCUAAAUUCUGCGUAGUUAGGCUAAACCGAGAUCCCUUCGCCGAACCCCUUUAACCAGAACUAAAAUCCUUUGUAGUUAGGCUAAACACAGAUUCCUUUGCCGAUCCCCUUUAACCAGAAACAAAGUAUGUGUGUUGUUAGGCUUAACUGAGAUCCUAAACUUGGCGGCAUUGCAAAGAAUCCAGUUUGCAUGGAUCAUGAUGCAAUAACAUCUUUUUUUAUGCCAUCGUAAAUUUUUUAAAAAUAUAAAACUUUAUGAUCCAUGCACAUAUAAUGGCAUAUUUUUUGAAUGUAUUAACUUUCAUACACCUUUUUUUACAACUUAUGCAGGUUUCACCUUGAUUGUGUUGUCAUUAAUGAAAAAGAUGUUAUAAACUUUCUCAUGGUUGAUCAAGUUGCAAAAACAUUUUUAGAUCAUCAACACAUCACUAUGUUUAUGAUGAUAUGGGCUUUAGUGACUACUUAGUUAUUGCACCACUUAUGGCAAGCAAGCCAAACAUACCAUAUAUUUUUCAAUUGUGAUUCGGAGCAUUCCGAUCAACUACAAAUUGUUGUGAGAUUGUUGUAACAAAUGUAUUUGAUAAUGUACGAGUUGAGCAAGUUGACAUGCAAUAAGAACAAUCUGAAACAUCAAAUGUUAGUGUAGUUUCUGAUAUAUCGAUUGUCUUGUCCAGCCCUCUUACUCCAUCAAAUAUCAUGCAACAAUCCAACCUCUCAAGUAUGCCAUUGACAGUCACUCCACCUGGGUUGUAGAAGGCACACAACGUUGGUUUGGUUAUUGGAACAAAGAGAAAACUUCACUUCGAUUUUGAUUAUGUUCAACAAAGGUUUGUCUCUCUUCCACUCCAAACUAAAACAACAUUUUAAUUAAUUCUCGGCUGCUCUACACAUUUUAAUUGUCCCUUGUAAAUUAUUCUAAUGCCAAUAUAGCUUGAAAUGUCCUUUACAACAUUUCACAACUAAGAAAGCCAUUGAAUACAACUAUCCAGGCAUAAGCAAGUUAGUUGGCUGAUAACCCUCGAAAAAACAAAGGACCAAUGGUUCAACCAAAACAAAGGUAUUGUUCCUACCUUAUACGCUAUACUAGAGGUUAAGGAUGAUGAUGAUUGCUUAACAAAGAAUAACCUCAAGCUAAUAAUGGUUUGUCACUUAGCAAAAACAAAGGACCAUUGAUCCAAUAACAAAAAACAACAAAGACAAAUGUCUUCACAAUUUUUUUGUUUUAUUAAGAUGAAAUGUCAUUUGCUUUAUAUUCAUUCUUGCCAUUUGUUGUUAUAUUUAUAAUAGUUCAACAAAAACAAAUUACAACUAUCACAAAUCAUUAUACUCCUCUCGUGCACUGUUACAUUCCUUUUUUUAUCAUUGUAAAUCAAUGCUUAGAAAACACUGUAAAGGCAACUAUCCUUAACACACUGUUACAAUGCACUUUAUCUUAUUUGAACUAUCUUCCACCCAAAAAACAACCACACAUACCUUUGAAUAAAUUGAGAUUGGAAAAAAAUAUACUUAUAUUUAAUUGCCAAUAAUUGUGUCAUUUUCAGUUGUUUUGUCUUAGCAAGAUAAUGCUUUUAUGUGAUAAUCUUAAAAACCUAAACCAAUACAUGCUAUCAUGUGAUUAUUACUGUUGUAUUGCAUUGAUACUGCUAUUGAUAUUCACAUACAUAUACUUACUAAUGACUAAAAUGACUAAUGUUUUAUGGCAAAUUGAUAUGGCUAACAUGUUAUGGUUAUUUUUAUUGGCUUUGAUUUUGAAACAAUUUUACAGUUAUCUUUCAAAGAUUAAUCAAGCUUUAAGUUUCCAAUUAAUAAAUUACAUGUUAUUGUAUAUUUUUCCAGGUCAUCACUGCCCGAAACCUUUCUAGAUAAAAUGUAUCAUAUUUAUUUCAUAGUUUUUCUAAACUAUGAUAGUUUAUAAAAUAACCACCAAUAUGACAGUAUUGGCUUUGCAAAAUUUUAGAGGACCAUGACAUUCACCUUUUCUAAUGUGCAAGAUUACUAGGCUUAUAGCAACAUGCAUGUUGAUGCAGCUGCUACAAGGGCCACAUUUUUUUCCUUUUUUUUGUAUUAAAAAAAAAUUGGAAGCACUUUCAUUUUCAUUUAUAGAACCAUAAGGUUUUUGUCAUUAUGUUUUAAUAGUUGGGUCUGUUGAUAUGCUCCAACAGCAUGCAUUACUGCUUUAUAUAUUUUACCUUCUAAUCAUGUCAAUCAAAAUAUAAACCUUAUUUUAGAAUUAACAAAAGUUGCUUCAAUCUUAGAAGAUGGUUUUUCACUACCAUUCAUUAAUGUUCUUUAUGAAUACUUACAAUGAAGCGUAGAUAAUCUAACUAUUUUUUUUUUCUAGAAAACACAAGACAAACUAUUGUUGGCUGUUGCAAACAAGAAAAUCAAUUUUUUUGGCACAAUCUAGCUCUAGCUUGAUAUCAAGAUUUUUUUUUUUUAAGAUCAUAAUAACUUUAUAAAACAUAAAUAAAAAUAAAUUAUACAAUCUAAUUUAACAUCAUAACAAUAUUGAAGAAUUAAAUCGAUAAAAAAACUUCAUAAAAAUUAAGUGAAAAAAAAGAGAUAACUGUGAGUGCAUGAAGAGUGGAAUCAGGAGCCUUUGAAGAUUUCCUCUUAAUACAUAUGUAUGGAAUGGAGGAGCACAUAAAAAGCUUAUCUACUUCUAACAACGUAUCCAUCUAAUGAACCAAAAUUCUAAAAGUUUAUUAUUAUUAAUUUAUCAAAGCACCUAUAAAUGCAUGCCCUUUCUCUUGCUUCUUAUACAGAUUUGGAUGAAACUUUCUUGAUUCUAGCCACACAGUUGUCUGUUGGUCUUGUAUGAGGGAGGAACAUCCAACGACAUUCAGGAUUUUCACGUUCGAGCCUGUAACAUCAAAUACAUAUAGUAUACAAUAAUGUAUCUAGGAUAAAAUAAUGCAGGAUCGUUCAUAAAUAUUAACGGAGAGAUUCACCUAUAAUCAAGAAGAAAAUAAUGCAGAAAAAUAGAUAUUUCAAGCUUGGCAAGAUCAUUUCCAGGGCACAGCCUGCUUCCAGCUCCGAAAGGAAGGAAAGUCCCUGGUUUGGGGUUGUAAUUCUACAAUUAAGGAUGUUAAUAUUUAUGGUGAUCAUCAAAAUAUAUAGUAACCACUGCCGGAGCUGAUUGACUUACAUCCCAUCUUGAAGGAUUAAAUUUCUUUGGAUUUGGAUAGAUUUCUGGAUCCAAAUGAAUUGUCCUGAACCAAACUAGAACUUUCCAACCCUUUGGAAUGAUGUAUCCUGAAGAUCAUUACAUUAUAUCCAUCAGUGAACGAACUAUAGGUCUAUCAAAAAUGUUUAGACUAACUCCCCUAAGGAGAAGAUCUUUUAGCAACUAACCAUUUAUACUGAAAUCUGUUUUUGCUUCUCGAAAAACAGUAAGCGAGAAUGUGAUCAAACGAAGAGUUUCAUCAAUCACCUACAACAAAUUAUGAAAUUAAAAUAUGUUGCUAUGAACUUAAUUGACUUGCAACAAGCUGAACAUAAAAUCAUGACAAGCUACUGAUAAAUUUUACCUUGGAAAGAUAAUCCAUUUCUCGAACUUCCUUAAGUGACAAUCCCUUUUGUGCUGGCGGCCUUCUUUUUACAAUCUGUUCUUGCUCUUCCUAAAAUGAAAUCAAGUGAUGGAUCAAUGCACGGACAUACUUUCAACGGAAAAAUGGUAGGUGUCUUAUAAUUAAUGGAAUUACGGUACAUACCUUAGCUUUUUGGAGAAAUUCUGGAUGUUCCUGGAGGAAAAUAGUAGCCCAUGUUGUGAUAUGGCCAGAGGAUUCAUGGCCUGCAUUCAAGUACAUCAAAAUUACAUCUAUGAUUUCUUCAUCAGUCAAUUUCCUACCUUUUUCAUCUUCAACACCCAACAGAGAGUCCAUCAUGUCUUUCUUCUUUGCGUUAAGAGCACCGUUCUUCCUUAAAUUUCUACGCUCAUCCACUAUAGAUUGGAAUAUAGCGACAAGUCUUUUACGAGCCUGGAAUUAAUAAAAAUUCAUUAAUUUAAUCCCCUAGUUACAGCAGGAAUUAAAGAAGGCUAAAGUUAGAUGAAUAAAGAAUAAGAGUAGUAAUCAAGAAAAGUGAGAUCAACCUUCAAUGCUUUAUAGUAAGAGAAUCCAGGAAGAUUGAUCGCCAUGGCUCUGACUCCAUAAUUAAGAGUGGUGUAAUCCUUCUCCAAAGCCUCCAUAACCAACUCACUCUCAGAGCUAAGAAAUAUAUACAUGAUUAUUCUGAAGGUAAGUUUUCUCAUUUGAGUCAAGAACUCAAUCUUCCCCAUUGUGGUCCAUUUUUCCAACAUAGCUAUCACAUUUUCUUCUAUAUAUGGAAUGUAAACGGACAAUGCUUCGUGACCAUUGACAGGAGCGGACGUUAAGCGGCGGAGGCGUUUGUGCUCUUCGUAAGAAAUACCAAUGAAGGAUUUCCUUCCGACAAGCUUUAGUGUGGAAAUUGGCCAUCCAGGCUUAAAUGCAUCAUCGUUACUUAAUACUUUUCUGCAUGCUUCAGGUGUUGUUACGAAUAUACUCGGGUUCCCGAACAUGAAGGCCUUGUAGAUUCCAUUAUUUCCAUAUCUAUAUCAUAUUGCUUCCAUUUAAUUGAGUAAUAUAUCAUUGAUUAAUUAUAGUAAAACAAUUUCUUCUCAUAAGCCAGAGUACCACUGAUAUUAAAGAUAUGAUUCGAGCAACAAUAGAGCAAUUCAACUAUGUAAACUCAUUUACCAUGCACCAAUGUACGCGUAUAACACCCCUAAGAAUGGCAACCAAAGCCAAGAUAGAAAAACCACUUUUCUUUUCCUUAGAGAGAUAACAUAAAAAAGCAGAAAACAAUCAAAAUUUCAAGGAUACUAAUCAAGGUGUGAAAGGGCAAGGAAAUCUUCGAAUCACAUCCACAUGCUUGAGAUUUGGAGUAUCAUGUGAUGUAAUAAUUGGAACAGUUAGCAGGAUUAGGACCAUUCAUCUGAAAUUAUUAUUGACCCAGAAAGAAUUAUUGAAGAACAAAUAUUGUAGGGUACAUAUUUCAGAAGCUCUGUCUUCCCUGGUUUAAAAUACUACAGUAUAAUACUUUAAAUAUUCUCAAUAUUAAAUAAGAUUUGCUUUAAUAACAAGAUCAAAGGGAUUUAUGGUAGAUAGGAUAAGUAAAGGCUAAACAAAACGAAUAUUAGAUAGGAUAAAUAAAUUAUUUAUUUAUUGUACCGAAUUGCCACUUCCCCUGGAAAUAAAGAAGAAUGAUGGAAUGGCAUCAUGCCUAGAGGAAAGCUAGAAGACCGGAAAUGCCAUGAUAUAUGUAUGUACAUAAAAAGAAAAGAGAGAUGUAGAGAAAGAGAAAUUAGCAGUAUACUUGUUGAUGAAGAUGCGCAUGAAAGAAUCAGGAUCGCUGGAUUUGAAAGCUCUGAGAAAGGACCACAUAUUGCCGAUGAAAGGCCAGCCCAAAUCCCCUGGAGGUAGUGAGUACUGCUUUUCACCCAAUUCGGCUUCAUACAACCACCAAUUCACUUUCUUUAGAAUCCAUUUCCCAACCCCUAAUCCACCAAAUAUGAUUGCUAGGACCACACAGAUGGAUCCCGACUCCAUAGCUAACUAGCUUAAUUUGAAACAAGUAACCGAACAGAGGGGCCACCUGAUAAAAGAAUUUGAUAUAAGAGACUACUCUCAGACAUGCAUCCCUCUCAGUCACUUUUUAUGAGAAUUCUGUUUGAAGAUACAGGGGUAAUACUAGGUAUAUAUAUACAGAAGCAACACUACAGUCACGGGCAUAUACGUAGGUAUAUGGAAAUAAAAACAGCUUAAAAUAAUAGGAAAAGAGAGAAAGAAAUGCAAAAAUUGUUCUGCAUUGAAGGGAAGAGAAAAAGGUGAAAAAUUGUCGUGUUUACCCAUACAUGUUUCUAGACUUCAAAAGAAGAGAAAAAAUAUUUUCUUGUAACUUC
rnacentral:lncRNA from 1 species